rnacentral:lncRNA from 1 species
GACCAGAGAUAAAGGCUCCUUUGAAGUCAUCUUAGUUUCAACAGACAGAGACUCAAGAGAGUUUAACAUCAACAUGACCAAUAUGCCAUGGCUUGCAAUACCUUAUGAGGACAGAACAAGACAAGACCUUUGUAGAAUCUUCAGCAUCAAACUCAUACCUGCAUUGGUCAUCAUAGGACCGGAAGAGAAAACAGUGACCACAAACGCAAGAGAGAUGGUAUCGUUGUAUGGAUCAAGGAGUUUCCCAUUCACAGAAUCAAGGAUUGUUGAGUUAAAAGCUUGUUUGAAGAAAGAAGGUGAUUCACUUCCAAGGAAAGUGAAGGAUAAGAAGCAUGAACAUGAGCUAAAGCUGGAUAUGGCGAAAGCUUAUGUGUGUGAUUUCUGUAAGAAGCAAGGCAGGUUUUGGGCGUUUUCUUGCGAUGCUUGCGAUUAUGAUCUUCAUCCUACAUGUGUGGAAGAACAAGACGCAUUGUUGGUUUAGCAAAAGAGACAUUAGUCGUGAUUUGUCUGAAUGAUUUUGUAAUAUUAGUAAACAUAGAAGACAGUCGUCGGGAUAUAUUAUGUUCUCAAAAUGAAAUUAAGAAAUCAAUGGGCCAUGCCAUGUAAAACAACAAAUCACAAGUUUAGGAAUUAGGAUCAAGAUUGUAAUUAGAUGUUCUGUUUGUAUAAUCAACAUUCUGUUUUCAUUAAUAGAAAAGUAUAUUUUAUAUUUACAUUUUCUUACAAGUAUAUAGAUUGAAAAGUAAGUCUUAGCUUAUGAUUUUUUUUGUUUUCAUUUCUUUAAUAUUCAUUUGGAUAUAAUCUGAUUUCUAAUACUCCUACAAUAAAGCUAAGGUAACCUGUUCUUGAUGAAGCAUGUUGUCUCAUAUUGGUUUUAGGUUUCUGAGCAGAAGCAAGAUAAAGACAUAGUGGUGUUGCAGUUUAGAUGGCAGUAUCAACUGAUUACCAAGUUAAGUUUCCUGAAAGUGGUGAUCUUUACUCUAUACUAGCAGCUGAAGGGAUUGAGUUUCUUUUGUCGCAUAGUGGAGAGGUAUGGCUUAUGCUCUCUCGUUUAUUAUAUUUUGAUAUUUUCGUCUGGUCUUUUAUACUCAACUAUAAGCUCACUUCAAUCAGGUGCCGUUGGAAUAUAUUCAUGGCAAGACGAUUUGUCUCUUCUUCUCUGCAAACUGGUGCAGGCCUUGCAAGGACUUCACUCCAGAGCUGGUAAAACUCUACGAAAAUCUUCAAACCCGAGGAGAAGAACUCGAGAUCAUCUUUGUCUCGUUUGAUCAUGAUAUGACUUUAUUCUAUGAACAUUUCUGGUGCAUGCCAUGGCUCGCAGUCCCCUUCAAUUUAAACCUACUCAACAAAUUAAGGGACAAGUACAGAAUUUCUCGUAUCCCGUCACUGGUUCCUCUAUAUUCAGAUGAAAUCUCAGUCGCUGAAGAUGUAAUUGGUCUAAUUGAAGACUAUGGUCCUGAAGCAUUUCCUUUCACUAAAAAGAGAAAAGCAGAACUCAAAGCUAUCGAUGACUCCAAACGCAUUGGCGGACAAUUGGAGAAACUCCUUACUCAUGAGUCCCGAAAUUACGUUGUUGCCAGAAAUGGAAGUAAGGUAAAAAUAACUGACUUAUAGACUUCAGAUCUCUGGUCGGAUCAAAUGAUUAUAUAUGAUUAUGUCUAUGAACAUUAUGCAGGUGCUAGUUUCUAAACUAGUGGGCAAGACUAUAGGGUUGUACUUUGGUGCCCACUGGUGUCCGCCUUUUAGAUCUUUCACUUCUCAGCUCCUGGAUGUGUACAAUGAGCUCGCGACCAGAGAUAAAGGCUCCUUUGAAGUCAUCUUAGUUUCAACAGACAGAGACUCAAGAGAGUUUAACAUCAACAUGACCAACAUGCCAUGGCUUGCAAUACCUUAUGAGGACAGAACAAGACAAGACCUUUGUAGAAUCUUCAGCAUCAAACUCAUACCUGCAUUGGUCAUCAUAGGACCGGAAGAGAAAACAGUGACCACAAACGCAAGAGAGAUGGUAUCGUUGUAUGGAUCAAGGAGUUUCCCAUUCACAGAAUCAAGGAUU